rnacentral:lncRNA from 1 species
CGGAUAUUGAAGAGUGAGUGUGGUGUAACCCGGGGAGAGAGUACUGGGUUUGUGAAAAACGUCUACCAUUUGUUGAGCACUCAUGUGGACCAGGAAGCCUCUACGGAUAUCACCUUCUCAUUGUAUCUUCACAACCACCCCGUGAGGUAGAAACUAAUAUUCCUGACUUACAGACGAGGACCCCGAAACACGGAGAGCAAGAGCUUUUCCACUUUAUACCAUCAACAACACGUGAGAGUUCCUGCUUACGCACAUCUUCACCAAAAAGUUAUGCGGAAUUUGAGGCUGGGAGACUUCAAGCAGGCUGCCAGAGGUCAUGGAAGCAGGUGGUGGCACAACCAGGAUUCGAAGAGGAUUCUGUUUAAUAAUAAAACCACCGUUCAUUGCGGAUCACUUUGACAAAUUACCAAACAACUCUUUACCUCAGUUUCCUCGUUUGUAAAAUGGGAAUAAUAGUAGUUCUCAUGUUGCAGAGAGAAUGAAAUAAAAUAAG